GACGAACGCUGGCGGCGUGCUUAACACAUGCAAGUCGAACGGACAAGUGCGUUCCUUUUUCGUGGGUGUGGAUGAGCGGCGAACUGGUGAGUAACAGGUGAGUAACCUUCUCCGUUCUUCUUGAUAACCGCAUGAAAGUGCUGCUAAUACGGGAUAUACUGGGUCUGUCGCAUCAUGGGUCUGAGAAAGCUAUUGUGUCGGUUGGGGAUGGGCCCGCGCCGUAUUAGCUUGUUGGUGGGGUGAUGGCCUACCAAGGCGGCGAUGGGUAGCCGCCCUGAGAGGGGGGUGGACGACACCGCUGGGGAGGCGAGGCCGCCCAGACUCCGAGGGGAAGCAGCAGUGAAGCAUAUGGCACGAUGGACGGCAGGAUGGUGCAGCGCCGCCGCGGGGGUGAUGGAGGCCUUCGGGUUGAAAACUGCUUUCGGGAGUGAAGCAAGCCUGCCUCGUCUGUGGGUAGGUUGACGGUAGCUGGAUAAGAAGCCCCGGCUAACUACGUG
rnacentral:rRNA from 1 species